GGUAGAGCUCUUGAAGAAAGUCAGAUAGGUACUGUGAUUUCUAUGGUGCCGCCUUACCCUGCAUCCGUUGUCAGUAUUUUGUCAUUCAUACGAGUAUAGCGCAACUUUUGUCGCAUUAAAUGUAUUGUGUGUACCUCCAUUUUUUGCCAUAUGUGCUAUAGGUUAGUCGUUCUUUUGUGGAGAGCUAUGAAUCUAGACUGUAAGGUUGGAACUUUAGCUGUGGCUUCUUCAUGAGAUGAGAUUGAGAUAAUUAAAUCAUGUUUAUACGAUCUUCAGUUGUAACAUGCAACGUUCUACGUAGUCAGAAUUGCAGUGGAGUACUGGCUUUAUGCCCCAAGU
rnacentral:sRNA from 1 species